rnacentral:rRNA from 1 species
GCUUACGGCCACACCACCCUGAACACGCCCGAUCUCGUCUGAUCUCGGAAGCUAAGCAGGGCCGGGCCUGGUUAGUAAAUUGGAUGGGAGACCGCCUGGGAAUACCAGGUGCUGUAAGUU